GCGGGGGGUGCGAGCGUUGUUCGGAAUUAUUGGGCGUAAAGAGCGUGUAGGCGGCUGAAUAAGUCAGAUGUGAAAUCCCUGGGCUUAACCCAGGACGUGCAUUUGAAACUAUUCGGCUAGAGUAGGGGAGAGGAAAGUGGAAUUCCUGGUGUAGAGGUGAAAUUCGUAGAUAUCAGGAGGAACACCGGUGGCGAAGGGGACUUUCGUGGCCGGGACGGACGGUGGGGGGAGGGAGGGGGGGGAGAAGAAGG
rnacentral:rRNA from 1 species